UGAGCUAUAUACUGCUUUGGUGAGAUCUCGGCAUCUCGCAUAAGAAUCUGCACUGUGUGGAGGGUUCCAGCAUCAAGUUUAAAUUCGAACUCGAAUCAAACGAACCUAACUCCAAGUUGGUUAUUUCGCACGUGCAAAAGUUCUUGUUUCACUUUCAGACUUCAGUACGAGUUUGGCGGUCACUGGUAAAUCUAAUUAUUAAUCUCCGCUCCCUCUUUAGUGAAAACUGCGAUGCCCAUGCACAUUUUCGCAUUCUGUAUAGCAUGUACGUGUACAUACAACAUCACAUGCCAUUUCAGGAGUACGAUUUUCAUUCUGGGUGGCAUUCGAAGACUACCCUGUUUAUACCCACGAGGUAGUAUGGUGGAAAGUGUUUCACAAAAUUUCAAGUUCAUUUGAACUAGAACAAAGCAGUCUGUGUUUUCUUUCUUGUCAUUAUAUGUCGGGCAACAUAACAGUCUUAUUACCUUGUUAGUAGGAGGUUUCAUUAUUAAAAAAGGACUUCUUAGACCUAAUGUCGGUAUGACUGAUCGCAAGCUUCUUCGGGAACAUUGUGAAGCUUUAGUUUAUAGGUAACUGUGGCAGCUGUAUUACUAGCCUCUACCGUUUUGAGACAUCUCACUACGUCAAGUAAUUGUGUAUAGAAAACUUUAUGUUUAAUAGCAUUCAGUGCGUUAGUAGAAUUGAUAGUGUGCGUUCGUGUACUUACAUGCAUGUGGGGUGUGUUAAUUUAGACUUCCUGGUGUCGGGAACGUAAUAUUGUACAUCGACAAGUCACAAAUGUACGCGGCAGCCACUCCACAGGCCAACAACCAGGGCCACCCGGUGCUUGGAUUACCAACUUUGUUACACAUAAAAAGAAUAACUACCUAAAGAGCAGGGGAUCACAUUACACAAACAUUGAAACCCGCUGAUACGAAUAGAAUUUGUAGUUCAAUAACUACAAUUGGUACUACGCUCAAAAUCUGCAUGAGUAUUAAUACCCAUUUCCAAACACGGUCACAUAAACAACUGUUUAUUGUCAGGGAUGUUUGCUCAUUACCGGACACCCUAGCUUGCAACACCCCCGCCACUGAGGUGUAGUUUGAGUGGAUGGAGGCAUAUUGGUGGUGAGAGAAUUUACUUCGGAAAUUCUUGGGCAGUUGUAGUACAAAUAUUGCUGGAACAGAAGGGACGUAUAUCCAGGAUGCUUGGAAGGACAUUCAGGAGACAGGUCUGCAAUUUCCCUGCUGUGAAGGUUGAUCACCCCUUGUCCUAUCGCUCUGGGCCUGUAAGAAAUGCUGCGAAUCAUCACACUUGUCUCUAAACACGUGCUCAUUUUCAACUGUUCCAGUCCAUGGC